UGAUUACCCGUUAAAAUGAUAAACAAAAAUCUUACGUGGUAAACGGAAAUCUGAAACCCACCUCUCCCUUUCACCUGCCUACUUGGUGCUUCCAUUGCCUCCCUUUGGGUGGAGAUGAAGCUGACGAAGAAAUCCAAGAAGAAACAUAGGGUUUCCAGUGGGUCUUCCCCGAGCUGAGGUUCGCUUUUUGCAAACUUGUUCAAAUGUUUCUAAGUGUGGGGUUUGUCGAAACGGCGAAUGAUGAACCAGACAAGGUCGUGUGCGGGGAAAGAUGGAGGGAUGGCAAUGGAAGCACCGAGCAGGCAGGUCAAGGGGAGAGGUUUCAUUUAUCAUUUUAACAAGAGUAAUCAAAAUAAUUGAACUAUCUUACCUGAGUAUCUAAAUUAUAAACUUUUUUUUUUUAUUUUGGGUGUUUAAAAUGAAAAUGUUUGAUAAUUGAGUGACUAUCUAUGCAGUUUAUCCUUAAAUUAAA